rnacentral:rRNA from 1 species
UACGUAGGGCGCAAGCGUUGCCCGGAAUUAUUGGGCGUAAAGAGCUCGUAGGCGGCUUGUCACGUCGGGUGUGAAAGCCCGGGGCUUAACCCCGGGUCUGCAUUCGAUACGGGCUAGCUAGAGUGUGGUAGGGGAGAUCGGAAUUCCUGGUGUAGCGGUGAAAUGCGCAGAUAUCAGGAGGAACACCGGUGGCGAAGGCGGAUCUCUGGGCCAUUACUGACGCUGAGGAGCGAAAGCGUGGGGAGCGAACAGG